rnacentral:rRNA from 1 species
AUUGAACGCCGGCGGCAUGCUUUACACAUGCAAGUCGAACGGUAACAGGUUAAGCUGACGAGUGGCGAACGGGUGAGUAAUGCAUCGGAACGUGCCCGAUCGUGGGGGAUAACGCAGCGAAAGCUGCGCUAAUACCGCAUACGAUCUGAGGAUGAAAGCGGGGGACCGUAAGGCCUCGCGCGAUCGGAGCGGCCGAUGUCAGAUUAGGUAGUUGGUGGGGUAAAGGCUCACCAAGCCAACGAUCUGUAGCUGGUCUGAGAGGACGACCAGCCACACUGGGACUGAGACACGGCCCAGACUCCUACGGGAGGCAGCAGUGGGGAAUUUCGGACAAUGGGCGAAAGCCUGAUCCAGCAAUGCCGCGUGCAGGAAGAAGGCCUUCGGGUUGUAAACUGCUUUUGUACGGAGCGAAAAAGCUCUCUCUAAUACAGGGGGCUCAUGACAGUACCGUAAGAAUAAGCACCGGCUAACUACGUGCCAGCCGCCGCGGUAA